UACGUAGGGGGCGAGCGUUGUCCGGAAUCAUUGGGCGUAAAGCGCGUGUAGGCGGCUCGAUAAGUCCGGUGUGAAACCUUGGGGCUCAACCCCAAGCCUGCACUGGAUACUGCCGAGCUAGAGUCCGGGAGGGGAGAGCGGAAUUCCUAGUGUAGCGGUGAAAUGCGCAGAUAUCAGGAGGAACACCGAUGGCGAAGGCAGGUCUCUGGGCCAUAACUGACGCUGAGAAGCGAAAGCAUGGGGAGCGAACAGG
rnacentral:rRNA from 1 species